UACGUAGGGUGCAAGCGUUGUCCGGAAUUAUUGGGCGUAAAGAGCUCGUAGGCGGUCUGUCGCGUCUGCUGUGAAAACUCAGGGCUUAACCCUGAGCUUGCAGUGGGUACGGGCAGACUAGAGUGCGGUAGGGGAGACUGGAAUUCCUGGUGUAGCGGUGAAAUGCGCAGAUAUCGGGAGGAACACCGGUGGCGAAGGCGGAUCUCUGGGCCUGUCCUGACGCUCAGGCGCGAAAGCGUGGGGAGCGAACAGG
rnacentral:rRNA from 1 species